rnacentral:rRNA from 1 species
ACGGGGACCCGCACAAGCGGUGGAUGAUGUGGUUUAAUUCGAUGCAACGCGAAAAACCUUACCCACCUUUGACAUGGCAGGAAUCCUAAAGAGAUUUGGGAGUGCUCGAAAGAGAACCUGCACACAGGUGCUGCAUGGCUGUCGUCAGCUCGUGUCGUGAGAUGUUGGGUUAAGUCCCGCAACGAGCGCAACCCUUGCCAUUAGUUGCUACGAAAGGGCACUCUAAUGGGACUGCCGGUGACAAACCGGAGGAAGGUGGGGAUGACGUCAAGUCCUCAUGGCCCUUAUAGGGUGGGCUACACACGUCAUACAAUGGCCGGUACAGAGGGUAGCCAACCCGCGAGGGGGAGCCAAUCCCACAAAGCCGGUCGUAGUCCGGAUCGCAGUCUGCAACUCGACUGCGUGAAGUCGGAAUCGCUAGUAAUCGCGGAUCAGCAUGUCGCGGUGAAUACGUUCCCGGGUCUU